rnacentral:rRNA from 1 species
UGGGGAAUAUUGGGCAAUGGGCGAAAGCCUUACCCAGCAACGCCGCGUGAGGGAAGAAGGUUUUCGGAUUGUAAACCUCUGUCCUGGGGGACGAAGGAAGUGACGGUACCCCGGGAGGAAGCCCCGGCUAACUACGUGCCAGCAGCCGCGGUAAUACGUAGGGGGCGAGCGUUGUCCGGAAUUAUUGGGCGUAAAGGGCGCGUAGACGGCCGAGUAAGUUAUAGGUGAAAGCCCAUCUUUCAAGGAUGGAAUUGCCAGUAAUACUGCCUGGCUUGAGUGCAGGAGAGGGAAGCGGAAUUCCUAGUGUAGCGGUGAAAUGCGUAGAUAUUGGGAGGAACACCAGUGGCGAAGGCGGCUUUCUGGACUGUAACUGACGUUGAGGCGCGAAAGCGUGGGGAGCAAACAGGAUUAGAUACC